UCAACAGAUAAUGAAAAAAAUAAGAGAAAUUAGUUCUUGGCAGAAGAUCUUGCAGGAGAAUUAAACCGAGAAAGAAAAAAAUGACAAAGAAAAAGGAUGAGACAAAAUCGAAUGAACUAGGAGACAAACAGAUGCUGAGACGAGUCAGACGGAACAGCAUUAAUAGUGGAAGACCAAACUUUUCUGAUGAUCCUGACGGUUUUAUUUUGACUGACACACAGAUGUGACAGGAGCACCAGCAGAACAUUCUUCAUAUUCAGUCACUAAUUAAAGUGUAUAAAUUGUGUUCUUUAUAAAGUAUUUAUGUACUUCAGUGUUAUUAUGCAUUAUAUAUUAUAUUUUGAAUGCAUUUAUAAAUCACAAUUUUUACUGUAUGAU